AAAUCUAAUACCUUAGGACAAGAAAGUAUCGAAGUGGAGAAGGUUGAGAAUUGAAACGUUAAGAUGUGUAUGAGUAUGACACUGACUAUGUAAAACACAUAGGUGUGGAACCAUCGUUGAAUCUGAAAGCUCGGAUCUUUGUGAGACGAACAGGGUUGGCAGCCAUUGGUACUUCCAUGAGAUGAGAGAGAAGAAAGCCUCCAAAUCGUUAUCUUCGACCUCUCCUUGUGCCACACUUCGUGACGCAUACCACAAUUGCUUCAACAGGUGGUACGCCGAGAAAUUCAUGAAGGGUCACUGGGACAAACAAGAAUGCGUUUCUGAGUGGCAAAAAUACCGGGCGUGCCUUUCUCAACAUUUGGAAGAUAAGCAUCUGAUUCGUUUCUUACAAGCUGAAGGCAUUGUUCAAGACAGUGGUGUUACUUCUCAGUAACUUGUUGCGAGUAAGGUUUAAGAACAGACCAAGGCAACGGCCAUUGCAUUCUUCAGUAGGAUGUCAAGUUACAGGAUUAGUUGACAGGACUUCAAAUGUGAAUGGUUGCCUCUAGCUCCUUCUUGCCCUCAUUGUAGAAUGGCCUUGAGUUCAUCUCUUACUGGUUACAAUUUUCUUGACCUACAACUCAUUAAUGCAGUCACAAAAAUGCACUCUCGUAUGUGGUUGGGGUCUCACUCAUAACUUCAUGUCUAUGACGUUAAAUCACAGAGAAAUGCAAUUUGGGAGAAGCAAAGACUUCCUCCAAAGAAAAGAAACCAAAAAUAAUAAACCAGGAAAGCUCGGUUACAUGGCAAAGUCAGACAUAGCAACUCCCUUGUAACAGCCAUGGAACAUUGUGCUUGAACUAAAUGCAAUUUUUGGUUGAAGAGACUGCAUACCGCCCCAAAUUUGUCUGAUCAUUUUGCCACAAAUUUCCUUCCAUAAUAUUGUGGGUUAUAUUAUAAGUGCUGGUUGAAAGCUGUUUUCGUUCUUAUCACUCGUGUCUAUGAAAGUUUAAUUAAACUGUGUACUGAAGACAAGAAACCUGCCUUUCCUAGGUAGCAUAAAUUAAAAAGAUGACUUUGAAAAAAAAAUAGAGCUGUUUAAGAAAUGUUUCAGAAUAGAAAAGUAACGAGGAAGAAAUGAUUGGAGUGAGAAAAAACUUUGGAACUCUUUGUUAGGAGAUUUUUUAGGACCCAAUGGAAAUAGGGUCGCAAUUGGGAUAAGUGAAGGAAUAGAAUCGUUUUAUAUUCUCUACAUCUCCAUUAUCUUACUCCCAUUUAAACAUCCAAACGGUAGGUGAAUUCUUCAUUACAUACUCAUCCAAAGUUUCAAAUAGUAGGAUUGAACAAGAAAUAUAUAACUGCUCAUCAAAGCAAUUGUCACUCAACCCAUCAUGGCAACGUCCUCUGUCAAUCUGUCAUUAAUGACAUGUCUUUUAUGAAGUGAAUCUAUUGUGAGCAGUCCCUUGAAAACUCUGGUUCUAUUUCUAACUAACAUUCUGUUUUUUCAAUUUCAAACCUCUGACGUUGUGUUUUUAAAUUUUUAACUUCCUGUAUUCUGUUCUUAUGUCUUGUAAUUUUUGAAUUAUUUAUUCUUGGCUUUGUGGUUGCCUCAAACUUAUUUUAAGUUAUCCCCAUUACAGAAACGUUGGUUCUUAGAUUAAAUAGUGCUUGGAUAUUAUGAUACGUUUUUAACUUUUUUCUGUAUUAGGUAACCCUUCUGGCAUAAGGGUACAAUAGUUUCUUUCUUUUUGUAUUAUGAAAACUUCUAUCAGCUGAGUUUACACUAUACUAGCUCAUCAUGAGUUUCUGGUAGAUUAUGGAGUUUGACAACCUAGACAAUGAGUUAUGGGAUGCACGGCCCUAGGAGAUAUUAGCCACUCUUUCAAUUGCAUUCUGGAUCUCUAAAGUUACACUGUUGUUGGGGGUGGGGGGUAUUGAGCUGUCUUGCAAAGCUCAUGUGACAUCAGCCAAGUAUUUUGAAGAAAUGACUUUUAAGCCAGUCAAAUUGACCUCCUUGCAUACAAUUGUAAACACUCAUCAUGAUUUCAUGAGUUAAAUCCCAAGUUUCAUGAACACCACAACAGCUGUGUCCUAGCAUGAACAAUCCGUAACAGCUAUAUCUCAUGCUCCUAGUUUGAAUGAAUCCCUCACUGUUUUCUGCAUGGAACCUAGUUGUCAAUGCAUCAAUGAGCUGAACCUAGCAUCCACCUUCAUAUAAGUAAUUCUGGAGCUUGGGAAGAAUUAGUUAUGUUCUGUUUAUGCCCCUUUGCUAUUAACUCAUGUUGUAAUUUGUGAAUUUAUCCAUUUGAAUUUGUUA